CCCGGUGCCCCCACCCCUCCGGCCCCCACAGCAGUCGUGUUCAUUGUGUGCCGAAAGGAAGAUGAGGAAACGGAGGCUCAGAGAGAGCACGAGACCUGCCCAAGACCGCACCACCACGGAGUGGCUGGGACUCGGAUGCAGGUUCCUUCCGGUUCUUCUAAUAAAGGUCAAGGCUGCGUGCCUUGGGGAGGACCAAACCAGCCCAGGUCAAGAGUUUAGCAUGGCACCAGGCACACAGGCACCUCUUAUAAUUGGGGCUCUGCACCUUUGUCUUGCUGUGCUGGCCGUCCGUAUUCUUCUUUGGUAUGGGGAGACUGAGGAACAGAGAGUGGAAGCAUCUGCUGUCCUGCUGUCCCAGGACAGUAUGUGCCACACAGUGUCGGGAAAAGUCUGUGGGACUGGCUUGUUUGAGACCAAUAACCCAGUGCUUGAGCUUCAGUUUUUGUUCUGUUAAAUCUGGACAGGUGGCCGCUUGGCGCACAAAAUCUUGCAUGUUUCCAGCGGGUUUUUCUGUAAAAGAACAGCCCCAGAGGAAGAACUGGAUUAAUGACUUUUCCUGGCAGCCCCACGCCAGAACAGACUCAGGUGCCAGGCUGCAGGAGACUUGACUUGGUGCUUUUCAACAAGAUCAAUGGAAAAACCUGAAAUAUAACUGUAGAGCCGCAGAGCCUCAAGUCUGAAAGCCUCAACAGACUUUUGUUUAAUUUCAGCUGGACAAAGAGCACAGACUUGGUUUCAGACAUCAGCUCUAUCUCUUUCUAGCUGUGUAGCUUUGGCAAAGUGACCUAACCUCUCUGGGUCCAUGCAGUUUCCUCAUCUGGAAAAGAAGAAUAACAUCAUCUUCCGCUCAAAGGUUUAAAUGAAAUAUGCAAACCAAUUGCCAGAGUGCUGGACACUGGAAGUAGGAGUGUCUGUUUUACAAAGUGGAAGGAAAAAAAGAAGGAAGGAAGGAGGAAGGCAAGGAAGGAAGGAAGGAGAGAGGGAAGGAGGAAAGAAAGGAAGGAAGGAAGGAAGGAAGGAAAGAAACCUAACAGAUUCAGGUUCCAAAGACGC